CGCGCCAUGAAGUUUAGAGGUGGCUAUGGAAGAGGGAGACCAGCACCGCAAUGAUGAGUCAAUCGCUGCUGUACAUAACGGAUUAUUAACGAAAUAAAAAAAACUCUGACAUAAUUGA